rnacentral:SRP_RNA from 1 species
CCGUGCUAGGCGGGGAGCCAGCGGUGCCCUGUACCCGCAAUCCGCUUUAGCGGGGCUGAACUCCCGCCCGAGGUCGGUUGAUCGUCGAUUCUGCCAGUCCACAAGAACGUUGAAGGUCGGGUCCCGUGCGACGGGAAACUCCGAACCCCGUCAGGUCCGGAAGGAAGCAGCGGUAAGGAGUCACUCUCGGGUGCCGCGGGCCAGCCUGGCUGGAGUUCUGGUGUUCGGGUAAGGCGGGGAUCACUGUUCGACGGCGGGUGCACGG